GUGUUAAAAUAAAAACAAUGACUACAGGAGCUUAUAAAAGUAAAGCAAAGCUGAAUGGGGAUUGACAGUUACACUCUGGCUCAUGAUUAUAACUCUUUUUUGCCAGAUUUGAAACUGACAACAUCACAGCUUCCCCAGUACAAGUAUGCAAAGAUGAAUUAAAACGUGAUAAAGUCUGUAUCCUACAACAGGAUGUACAAAGAGCAUUUAAAUGCUGUAAAGCCCAUGAAAGUCCUGGGGUCAUUUUCACAAAGGAUCUUAUCUUACUACUAGGAGUCCACUAAAAGUUCCUAGGUAAGGUAAGAGUUUCCUCUUAACAGAUUUUCACAAAGCUGCUGAGUGCAACUUUUAGUAACGAACAAAUCAUAAUCAUAACAAAUAAUACUUUGAUGUGGUAAUUCUACUUAUAGCACAUAUUUUACUGGAUAAUCCUGCUAUGGCCAUGAAAUCACCUAUGUUUAUGCAUUUAUUGCAUUAGAUGAUUAUUUAAUGUGCACUUAAUGAACUAUCAAACAAAUUGGGGUCUGAAGAGCAUUUUUGGUUUGAUGAAUAAUUUUGUCACAGCUGAGGCUGAGAUCAUCAGUGCUGCAAACUGCAUUUUACCAGUGUCCAACAAGUAGCUUUGCAUAGAGUAGAGGGCAAACUGUCAUCUGCAGUGUUAUUGGAUCGUUUUGAUUUGUUGGUGAGCAGAUUGAAUACUUAUUAAAUGGCAGCCAUCAAAAUAUUGAUUAAAUGUUCAUUAUCAUUCUAUUUUAACACUGACGCAAUGAGACGCAUUACCUGCAGCACAUUACUGACUAUGUCUUAGGUCUCAGUGACUCAGGAGUCCUUUGGACUGCCUCUAACUUCUAACCUCUCAGACUUAGGAGCUACUUUUAGCACUAAAAUUUUUGUGAAUUACUCUUAGACGAAAAACUUACAGGAGUCCUAACAAACCCCUUUAGUUUCUCUUAACAGAGCCAGUUAGGAGCUACUUUUAGCCUUAGGAUGUUUUGUGAACACGGCCCUUGGACCAGCAAAUUCAGGUUGUGUCAUAGCUAGCCUCUAUGCCCCUCUGAUCCUCAUGUUACCCUGUGUUUCCACCCUCCCUUAUGUCUUCUGGCUGUCCUCUGUCUGUCUUUGUGUUGUUUGUCUGGCUUCCUAGGCACCUGCUUGCGGCUGAUCACCGGCACACCUGCAUUCCAUUAUUCAUCAGUCUCCACCGUUCUUAUACCAGGCACCUCCACACCACCGACGCCAGAUCGUCCCCGUACUUGAACACGUCCGCUGCCGGUGAUCACCGCUCCAGACCACUCUACACCUCGCUUCACCAGUCCACCGCCUGGUUGUUCUGCUACCAUAUCUACACUCAUCAGUCCUGUGCCGUCAGCCCCGUCUCCAUUCAGAGUGCCGCCAGUUUUCGCCCCGACCCGGUCCGGUAGAGUUUCCCGAAGCGGCAGACAACUACGCCGAACUUCUCACAACCCACCAACUUUCUGUUCAAUAAAGACUGCGGUCUAUUUACCGA